AGAGAAAGCGUGAAGCUGCCAGCAUGAUCUAACUCUUGAACCAGCUAGCUUCCGCGGGGUGGUUAGAUCGUGCUGUGACAGUUUCACCCUUUCCCUGU
rnacentral:pre_miRNA from 1 species